CUCACCACAUUCAAUGUCAUCGAUUCAAUGGACUUAAUUAAGUAUAAUGGGAAUAGGUCUAUUAGUGUAAAUAAAAGUGAAAUAAUUAGAAGGAUUAGAAUACACAUGCAGUAUAUGUUCCAAUGACAUACAGGGAUAGAAUUUUGAGAAAAAUUUAUUGUAAGUAAUAAUUUCAUACUUAAUGCCAAUAAUUGUUUAUUUCUAUGUUUUGUGUAUGGUCUCCUUAAAGUUUUAUUAUGAGGAGGAUUAAGAGGGUGGGGCUAAUGGGUAAUGGCCCCCCCCUUUUAAAAAAAAAAUUGUUUGAUUAAUUUAUCUCGAGAUCAAAUCACUGAAGCAUGAUUUAAGCGGGUCCUUUUUAAAAAAUUCUGGAUCUGCCACUGCAUACCACAGACAUAUACAGAAAUUAAGGAUGUUUUAUAAUUUUAAAAAAAUUCUAAUAUAUCUAUCAAUUAAAAAAAUAUUUAUAUUGAUAUAUAUGCAUGCAUGCAUUAGUGAUAAAUUUAAUAAUCUGUCACCUAAGGAUAUUUGCCUAUAGAUGUUUUAUGUCUCACUGUUGGGCUUCUAAGUCAGUAUCAAAUUAGAGUUUUGCCCCAAAUUUCAUGGUCCACUGAACAUAAUUAUAAAAAUGAUAGUGCUAGCUAUAGUGGGUCAUCUGUUUACUAUGGAAACAUUAUUGUUAUUGAUUUAAGGUGGUACCUAACACUACAGGGAGAUAACUCUGUAAAGUCAGCUAUUGGACUUAUCAUUUUUUACCUGGGAGGGGGUUAUAUUUCACUUUUUUUGUUUGAUCCCCCCAGUAAAAACAUUUUUAAAAAAAAUGAUCCCCCCCUAAUCAAACAUGCCAAAAUUUUAACAUGCAAAACACUUAUCAUAUUAUUUCAUGAAAAUAUUGAAAAUAAUAUAUUCUCAGUGGAUUGAAUCAAAAACAUAUUUGAGGGAAAAUUGUCUUGAAAUAGGGCACUUUCAUGAGGUCUUUUCAAUGAAUAUAAGCAUGAUAGGUAGCGCAAGCCAGUGCUUUGAGUAAUUUUUUUCUGACUUUUUUUUUUCUAAUUUCCUGUAUUGUGCUAUUAAAGAAAACCUGAUCCUAAGUAACUCUAAAAGAUAACUUUUUAAAAACAGUAACAACACAUUAUUUACUAAAUGGAAUCUAUUAUAUGGCCUUCUCUUGAACUCUGCUUAAACUUAAGUUUGAUGUAAGGCCUUAUUGAGUUGCUAAACUUUUAUAUGGAGAUUAUAAGUUACUCAUUUAUUGUCACAUUUCAUUCAUAUAUGUGUGAUAGUACAUGUAACAUUUUUGAUUUAUUAGCCUAAAAGUACAGAUUUUUGCGGGAGUAAGAGGUAUAAAUAAAUUAAUGGACCCAAAGAGAUCUUGUAAUGAAAUCAAAAAGUUACAUUAGUGGUGUUCAUCAUCUUAAAAUCAUUUUGCAAUUCAUACAACUGUUUGUAUGCAGAUUCUAAGAUGAAUAUUUAAUCAUUUAUUGGAGAAUUAAUUACUCUACACAUUAUUCUUUCAUGAUGCGGCAUACUUUGUGUUUUGGGACAAAAUUUUGCACAAAUCGCUGUAGAUUUCUACUUAAUUUAUACUUAAUUUCUCUCAAACUAUUAAGCUGAUUAAAACAAAAUUUGGCAGUUAUGCUUGUUAAUUUAGUGAUCAAAGUGAGUGAAAUACAUGUAUAACGACUGAAUUAUUUGGAUUAUGAAGCACCUACAUCACCAAAUUCUUGUGGUGUCUUAAUUAACUGUAUAUGAAUGGUGUUAAAAAUAUAUAUUUCUAUUUGACUGUUGCAAUGUUCUUCUUGACAUGUUCAUGAUGUUGUUUCUUGAAGUAUGUGAAAUACUUAUUUCCAUGUGUAAGAAAUAUUGAUCCCCCAACUUUGAAUUUAUAAAAAAAAUUGAACCCCCCUUUUCCACACACAGAAAAAAACUUGAUCCCUCCUGUAUUUUGACCACCCCACCCUCCCAGAUAAAUAAUGAUAAGUCCCUUUAAAAAAGUGUUAUAAUUACGUUGUGUUGUCAAAAGAAUACUAAGCUUCUUAAUGAUCCAAAUAAGUGUUAAAUGUCAAACUGCUAUAUAACCAGUGUAAUUUUUCUGGCAAAACGGUUGGUUCAAAAUUUUUGAAUUUUUUAUAUUUUUGUAAAAUACUUUGACCAAAUUUUAUGAAAAUUAAACGAGCUAAAUAAUUUUUAGUAAAAGUGUUGGGUACCACCUUAAAUGAUCUUAAAUGCAAAGUAUUAAGAAUUAAGUUUCUGAAUUUCACGAGUUGAUAAUUGCCUACAAUUUAAAAUUCAAGAAUUUUGCAUACAAGUAUGCCACUUGAAAGUAUAUUGUAUUUGACCUGGAUGAGAGUUUAGAUGAGGUUUACAAAAUAGAGAAUAACAGGCAAAAUGUACAGAAUAAAGGAAAAAAAAGUAAUAAAUAGGGAAAAGAAGGAAAACUAAAACUAAAUAAAUAUUAGAGAAUAAGUGCUGAAAUGAAAUUUAUGUAAAGAAUAGAGAUUAAAAAAAAAACAAUCUAAUAUACAUGUAUUAAAGAAUAAAGAUACAUGUAAAAAUUGUAUACAUAACAGACAGUCACAAUUUGAACAGAAUGUUGACUUUAACAGUGCUUAUUUGGUUUCAAGGGGAUUCAUCUGAACCCCCCUGGCUACGGGUAUGCAUAACCCCUAUCUAGACCUUAAUAAAUCAAGCCAUAUUAACACAUAAAUGACAAAUACUCUGAUAAUUGUGUUUAGGUCAGACAGGAAUUUGUCUGCAAAAGACUCAUAAGUAACUUGAUUGAUCUCCAAUAAAAAAAAAAUUAAAGGCCAAAUGAUUUACAAAAUUAAAAACUUUGUCUUUGAUAAUCAAGAGAAAAACUGAGACAGACUGAGAAAGACAUGAUUCAUACAUAAAAUACAAACCUUAGAACCUCAAAUUAAAAAAUUAGAAACAGUCAGGGGCAUUACUUAAACAAGUAAUAUUUUUAAGUUAUUACUAUAUAUUUAAGUAAUUUUUGUUUUUGAAAAAUAAUAAAAUUACUUAAUAGAGUUAUUUUAAAUUCUAAUAGAAGCAUAGAUUAAAUGUAGUUUGAAGAAGUUAUUGUAUCAUUUUCUAUCAAAAAAAAAAAGAAUUUAUAAGAUUUUAGAAGGAGUAUGGAGAUAAAGGUUUAAAUUAAAAAUAAUGACAAAUUACUUGAAUACGGUAAGUUGUUAUAUACAUUUUUGAAAAAAAUAUAGUAAUAACACUUAUUUAAGGAACACAUCAUGUAGUUGAUUUGGGUUAUAGCAGUUAAAAAGAACUUGAAAUCUUAAUUAAUUCACAAGUAUGUAUCUAUUUAUAUCAGUCAUUAUGUCAGUCUAUCUUCAAGAUUUUGGAGGAAAAUGAUAAUUUAAUAGUCCCAAGAGACCAACUUUGACCCAGAAGCAUCCAUGGGUAUGAAAGAUAAGUGAUAAGUGCGUCAGUAUGUUAAUUAGUGUUUCAGAAGGAUUAUAUUUCAUGGGGAAAAAUAACCAGAUGACUGUGAAAAUUUGUUAAAGCUAGUAAAAUCUGCAUUAUUGGACAUCUAUAAAAAGAAUAUUUAGAAAAGUUACAUAUAUAAGUAAUAUUUAAAAUAGCCUCGUUUUCAACAUAACUUGUAUAGGUAAUUUGAAUUGUUGCUUGUUUAAGUGAUGCCCCUGACUGAUAAAUGAAACUGGUUAAUGUUAUAAUAGAGCAAAAAAGUUAGAUUGUGUGUACAGUACAUUAUUAGACUUGCUACAUGUUCCUUCCUAAUUAUUUUUUUUUUCACUUUUGCCCCUUUAACAUUUCACUGCUAUAACUAGGAGAUUACCAUUAUACUGACAUCUGCAGGGGCAAUCUGUAGACAGGCAGUUAUCAGCAAACAUAUAAAUUAGUGAAAAAAAAAAAAGAUAGGGAAUUGUAGCAAGUCUAAGUACAUUAUAUAAACACUGUUUUAGAGAUGAAUUUUAUUUCAUUUAUUUUCAAAGAAUUAAUACAGACCCAUUGCAUGGUGGCUUUUGGCUUUUGUCUGCUCUAUGUUCGGGUUGUUGUCGCUUUGACACAUUCCCCAUUUCCUUUCACAAUUUUAUCAUUAUAGAAAGAGGACAAUAAUAUAGUACAUAAAAUUAAGAAUUGAAGUGGGAAAUGUAUCAAAGACACAACAACCGGACCAUAGAACAAACAACAGCAGAAGGUCACCAACAGGUCUUCAAUGCAGCGAGAAAUUCCCACACCCAGAGGUGUCCUUCAGCUGGCUCCUAAACAAUAUAUAUAUACUAGUUUAGUGACAAUUAAUGAACACCAUAUUAAACUCCAAAUUGUACACAAGAAACAUUAAAAAUAAUACAAGACUACAUGCAACAAAGACCAGAGGCUCCUGACUUGGGACUUGGGGACUCUUGUAUGCAUACAUAUAUUUUGUCAAUCAACCAUUAUAGAAUCCUGGCACUUACAUUAACAGAGUGCUUCAAUAUAUAUGUAAUACCCAACUUAUGAUUUUUUUUUUGUUUGUCAAAAGUUUUUUUUUUUCUUUUUAGCUCACCUGACCUAAGAAAGAGGCCAUCUGAGCUUUUGCCAUCCCUUGGCAUUAAUUGUUGAAUCAUCCAUUGUCUAGUGUACACUUUUUCAUAGAUCUUCUCUUAUGAAACUACUGAAUUAAUUCAUUUUAACCAAACUUAGGCUGAAUGGGUAUAUAUUUUGUAAUAAUUAGCUCACAGGGAUCCUUCAAGGGCCCCAUGUGAGCUUAUGCCAUCACUUGGAAUCUGUCUUCGUAAACUAUUUAAAAAAUCUUCUCCUCUGAAACUACUUUAAACUUCAAACUUUAACUAAAUAUUCCUUAGGGUGUCAAGUUUAUAAAUUGUAUCCGAAGUUUUGAUCCAUCAACAAACAUGGCUACCAUGGCUAAAAAUAGAACAUAGGGGUCAAAUGCAGUUUUUGGCUUAUAUCUCAAAAACUGAAGCUUUUAGAGCAAAUCUGACAUUAGGUAAAAUUGUUCAAUUGGUCAAGGUCUAUCAGCCCUGAAAUUUUCAGACGAAUCAAACAUUCCAUUGUUGGGUUGCUGCCACUGAAAUUGGUAGUUAUAACAAAAUUUUGCAGUUUUUUGUUAUUAUCUUGAAUAUUAUUAUAGAUAGAUGUAAACUGUAUAAGCAGCAAUAAUGAUCUACAAAAAAGUUGAUAUGACCAAAAAAGUCAAUUGACUCCUUAAGGAGUUAAUGCCCUUUAAAGUUAAAUGUUAGAAGGAACUUUUUAGUUCAUACUGUACUAAUUAUUUUAUAGCUGUUUAACUAAUUCAUCAAUGUUUCUAUUUCUUUUGAAUCCUAUUGAUAGGUUUUUAUUGAUUUUGUCACCAAUUGUAGAAUCUGUUUUGAUAAGAUUCCGGUAUUUCCUGAAUAAUGUUUGAAAUUUUCUGCUGAAGAAUUCGAAUUAUUAUUCGUACCGAUUGAUAUAUUGUAUCUAUUUUCAACUUUGUUCUUUUUCUAGACAUAAAUUCAUAGAAAUUGAUCCAAUAUCCACCUAUUUAAAUAAGGUGAAAAUCAUAACUCUGUCCUGAUUUCAUAGACAGAAUUUCAUAGAAAUAAAUAUCCAUUAGUGCAAAUCACAAUUUAAAAUAAAUGUGCCUUUAAGCAGUUCAUGUGUAAAAAAAAAUGCUUAGGAUGUUACUGUGGAUUUAUUUUCAUGGGUAUCAAUUAAAGAUUAAAGAAAUUUUUGUAUAUUUCGCCGAUAUUUGUUUUUUUUGGUUUUGUCAAAGUAUUUUUACAACCCGAUGGCAAAUUUUUAAUUCGUUUAACAUUUAACGUUUAAAUUUGUGGUUCAGCUGUUUCCACCAAAACGCCAAAACUGGUAUCCCAUGAACAUGAUGAACAUGAUGAAUAAUAAUGAAUCCACAGUAAAUAUUUUCAGCAUGAAUGAUGAAGUUUUAAUGCCAUUCUGUUCUUAUUUUAGAUUGACAUAUCCAUAGGACAUGCAGUUACCCUAGACCAUGUAGACAAACAGGAAGAGAAAGGUCUCUGAUUCAGUUCUCUGUGAAGUUCAAGGUCUUUCUUAGUCUAAAUAUGGGAAGAUGUGAAAGGUAAGUUUGAAAGUUUGCAAGUGUGCAAAAAUAUGUUAUUUCUAACAAAAUGUGCUGUUUCACAAAUAAAAUACUCUGUGUCUUAGACACUUAUGUAGCAAUUGCAAUAAGGCCACUAUAUUGGUGUAUGAAAUGAUUGUAAGCUGUAUUUGCCUGACCGGUUAAACUCACCCAUGCCUUCAUUUUCAUGCAUGGAUCAUUUAUGGAUCAAGUUUAUCUGAUAAUUGAAAAUAGCGUCAAAUUUUCAGACAAGUAAAGCUGGCUUAAAUAUUAGUUUCUGUCAUUUGGGCUCUUGCUGAGAGUUGUCUCAUUGGCAAUUAUACCACAUCUUCUUUUUUAAUUGACAUUUAAAUGUUGCAUUUUAUAUAUAUAUAUAUACAUAUUACAAUCACACAAUAGCUGGCCAAUUGUUAAUAAGCAUCCAUGUUCACAAAUAACUUCAUUUGUGCAAUUAAGGGACAUGCUAAGGAAGACCUUUUUUUAUGCCCCUGCAGUAGUUUUACCCUUGACCGUCUGUAUGUAUGUACGUCCUUCCAUACCUCCCAAAGUUUGUUACCGUUUUCCUAACUUCAGUUUGCCUCAACCAAAUGUUAUGAAACUGAUACACAAUGCUUAUUACCACAAAACACAGAUCAAGUUUGAAUUUUGGUUGCAUCAUGUACUUUAACCGUUCAAGAGUUAUGCCUCUUUACAAAAAAAAUUGCUGAAUUUUUCUAUUUGUUUUCUAACUUUAGUUUGCCUCUGAACCAAAUGCUAUGAAACUAAUACACAGCAAUGCUUAUUUCCACAAAAUACAGAUCAAGUAUGAAUUAAGGGACAGGGUCACUUACCUGUUGUUCAGUUAUGCCCCUUAACAAAUGAAAAAUUAUGCUUAUAUUUGUAGUUUCCAUUCUCUAACAUUGGUUUGCCUCAACUAAAUGCAAUGAAACUUAUACACAAUGCUUGUUACCACAAAAUACAGAUCAAGUUUGAAUUUUAUGGGGGUCACUUUAACUUUUCUAGAAUUAUGCCUCUUCACAAAUUGAAUGAUUGCUGAAAUUUUCAUUUCCAUUCAUUAACUUUAGCUUGCCUCAACCAAAUGCUAUGAUAUUUUAAACAAUACUUAUUACCACAAAAUACAAAUCAAGUUUGAAUUUUGAGGUUGUCACUAAAUUUUCUAGAGUUAUGCCCCUUUGAAAAUGGAAAAAAUUGCUGAAUUUUUGUUUCCAAUCUCUAAAUUAAGUUUGCAUAAACCAAGUUUUAUGGAACUUAUACACAAUACCUAUUACCACUAAAUCAGAUCAAGUGUUUUUGGUAGAGUCACUUUUACUGUUCUUCAGUUAUGUCCUUUUAUAACUUUAUAUGAUAUAUGCAAGCGGGGGCAUCAACUGUGAUCCAUUGAUACAUUCCCCAUUUAAUUUUUUGUUUAACAUCGAUUUUUUUUGGGGUGUCCAAGCCGAUAAAUUAGAGUUGAAAGGGCAAUCAAAACGCAUCUUUUUUGUUGUUAGCCCUAUUGAAAACUAUUGUACAGCAUUUUGUACAGAGAGGGAAACUUUGUAUAGUAAAAAUGAUCAACACCAUAAGAUCUACUAAUAAGUCACAUCAUUUUCUUUGUAGGAUACAUAGAAAUCUUGAAGGAC
rnacentral:lncRNA from 1 species